rnacentral:lncRNA from 1 species
UGAGCUGGAGAACCCUCACAGAAAAUGCUCAGCAUCUUGUCCCUUCUUGUUUUGAUCAGUACUGGAACCUGUGAGGCACUGGGAGCUUAGGAGCAUCUUUUGGAGCCUGCUACAGGCUGGAGGCUGCCCAGCACACCCUGGAGUAACAGCAAGUUGUCAGAGAAAGAAGUUGUCAGUGAGUUGUCCAGCGUGUUGUGGAGCAGGAGGACGAUUUGCCAAUGACUGAGUGUCUUCCAGGGAUUCCUGAUCCAAUGGUCAGGGAUCCAGCUUUUCACUUCUGAUCUACUGUAAGUUAUGGAAUCUGGCUAAUAGGAACAAAUCUGGAUGAGCUGGUUUAUGGAACAAUAAACACAGGAAGGAACUAAAGAGCACUCCUGAAAACUACCUCCUGGAAUGUAAAAAUUCUGAUCUUCGGGAAAGUAAAGGAACUGCUGUGUGAGAUGAAAAAUGUCAAUAUAUUUGGAGGACAGGCUAUUUCAGACUGGUGGUGAACAACUCCAAAGUCAUGUUUUGGUGAACUUCUGCUCCAAUACCUAUAAGGCUGGCAGUACUUCUCUCCAGAUGUACCAUUUGGCACAUUAAACAGUUCUUUUCUUAGAAGGGAAACCUAUGGUUUUGCCAUGUAAUGCAAAACACCAAUGGAAUCACUACAUAAGCAAAAUGCCAGUAAUGGUACAGUGGUCCAGCCACAAACAUUGGUAUGUUAAUUUUGUUUUAUUUUUCCCAGUGUGUCAUCUGUAGUGCUGUAUUUUGUACCAGGACUA